rnacentral:rRNA from 1 species
AAGACAACUCUCAACAACGGAUAUCUAGGCUCCCGUAACGAUGAAGAACGCAGCGAAAUGCGAUACGUAGUGUGAAUUGCAGAAUUCCGUGAACCAUCGAAUCUUUGAACGCACAUUGCGCUCGAGGCCUCGGCCGAGAGCAUGUCUGCCUCAGCGUCG